rnacentral:lncRNA from 14 species
UCAGUGACCCCAAAACCUCCCAAUUUCACCCCAAAAUCCUCUGAGAGCCCCAAACCUCCUGAUUUCCCCCUAAAAUCUCCCAAUUUCCCCCAAAAUCUCCUGAUUUAACCCAAAACUUCCUGGUUUCACCCCAAAAUCCCCUAAAGAACCCAAAAUCUUUAGGUUUUUCCCCCAAAUCCCCUCUGAGACUCUUCAGAACCUUGGGAUUUCCCUCAAAUCUCCCCAAAAUCCCCAAAAAAACUCCCAAUUUCUGCAAAACCUCCUGGUUGCACCCAAAAACUUCCCUAAACUCCAUUUCUCCCCCAAAUUCACUCAUUUCUCACUUAUUUACCCCAAAUCCCCUCAUUUCUCACCCAAACCCCUCAAAUCCUCUCAUUUCACCCCAAAAUCCCCUCAUUUCUCACUCCUUUACCCCAAAAUCCUCUCAUUUCUCCUCAAACUCUCUCAUUUCUCACCCAAACCCCUCAAAUCUCCUCAUUCCACCCCAAAAUCCCCUCAUUUCUUCCCCAAAUCCCCUCAUUUCUCACUCAUUAACCCCAAAUCCCCUCAUUUUUCCCUCAAACUCCUCAAAUCGCCUGAUUUCACCCCAAAUCCCCUCACACCUCCGCCAAAUCCCCUCAUUUCUCACCCAAACCCCUCAAAUCCCCUCAUUUGUCCCCAAAAUCCCCUCAUUUCUCACCCAAGCUCCUCAAUUCUUCCAAAAAAUCUCCAAAUCCCCUCAUUUCUCACUCCUUUACCCCAAAAUCCUCUCAUUUCUCCCUCAAAAUUCCCCUCAUUUCACCCCAAAUCCCCUCAUUUCUCCCCCAAACUCCUCAAAUCCCCUCAUUUCUCCUCACUUCGCCUCUUUUCACCCCAAACCCCUCAGAUCCCCUCAUUCACCCCAAACCCCCUCAGACCUUCCCCAAACCCCUCAUACCCCCGCAUUUCACCCCAAAUCCCUCACGCCUCCCCCAAACCCCUCAAACCCCCGCAUUUCACCCCAAAUCCCCUCACGUCUCCCCCAAACCCCUCAAACCCCCGCAUUUCACCCCAAACCCCCUCACCUCUCCCCUCACCCCCCCAUCCCCUCACGAACCCCCCCCCAUCAAUUCCUCCCCCGCUCCCCCCCCGCCCCUCCCACACCCCGCGGACAGGCCGGGCCGCCCCCAAAUGCCCAAAUCCGCCCGAAUUUCCCCCAAAAUCUGCCCCGGACCCCCCCCCCUCCCCCUCACGUCCCCCCCCCCCCCAGCCCCCCGCCCCGCCCCUCCCCCCGCCCGUCGCCGCCGAUGACGCACCGCCCGCGCCGCGCGCGCCCGCCGCUGGCGCCCCGCCCCUUCCGGCGGCGCUCCGCCCCUUCUCUAUGGUUCCUCCCCGUAUCCUCCCUGCGGGCUCCUCCUUUCCUCUUCCGGUGCCGCUCUAGCUCAGUCCUCCAACAUUUCUCCGCUUCCAUUGCUCUCUGUUUUUUAAAUCAUAAAAAAGCUAACAUUGAUUACAACGGCCCGAAAUGGUUUUUGUUAUCACGGGGAGGGGGUUUUAGCGGCCGCGUUGGGGUUGGGUUACCCUCAGGGAGGUUUCGUCUCUAUGGUGGCGGCAGCGGAAAUGGC